UUACAGCAUUAAAUGGAUACUUAAGCAUUAAGAUUCAAAAUGGGCGUUUUAUAACGAAAUAUUACAAGGAGUAGACUAGAAUGCUUAGAUCUGUAAUUCCCCAUAAAUUCGGAAAACUGAUCUUCAACUAAUGAAGAAUUGUCUAAAGCUGUUUUUAGGCAAAAAAUUUGGUGAAUUGAACCAUCUAAGUAACCAAAGUCCAAAAAUCAAACGAGGUGCUGUUAGUAGUGGCGAGCGAACGCAGCAAUAGACUUGAAAAUCGAAAAAUCUAUUUAAUAUUUACAAUAGCCGUAGUAUGGUAACCUAAAAUACAGGACAGCCCUGUAAAAUAGAAUUUAAGUUUUCGUUUAGUAAGGUAAACUAAGUCAUAGUUUGCCUGAAUAUUGGGGGACCACCCUCAAAGUCUAAAACUCUUAAUGACUGAUAGUGAAUAGUACCGUGAGGGAAAAGUGAAAAAGACUUUGCGAAAGUGAAAAGACUUUGAAAUUUAAUGCUAACAAUCUGUCGUAGUUUUUAAAAUGACGACGUACCUUUUGCAUAAGGGACCAACAAGUUUAUUUUAGUGGCGAGCUUAAGUAAUUAGAUACGUAGGCGCAAAGAAAUUAAGUUUUAAAAGGCUGUUAUUAGUCUCUAGAAUAAGACCCGAAACUAAGUGAUCUAGUCAUGAACUGGUUGAAGUUUAGGCGGCAACGCCUUUCGGAGGACCGAACCCGUGUAUGUGGAAAAAUACUGGGAUGAUUUGUGAUUAGGGGUGAAAGGCCAAUCAAACUGGGAGAUAGCUCGUACUCUCCGAAAUGCAUUUAGGUGCAGCGUCUCGUGUUUCUUACCG
rnacentral:rRNA from 1 species